UAUAUACCGUCGUUAUUAGAAUAUUUUAUAAGAAAGUUAAUUUUCAAGAUUUUUAAAAAGAAAAUAUAUCAGAUCAAGGUGUAGCUUAUAUUUAAGUAUUGAUGGGUUACAAUAAAAUUAUUUAAAUGGAUGUAAAUAUGAAAAAUUUAUUGAAAGUGGAUUUGAUAGUAAAAUUAUAAAGAUUAAUAAUUUGAUUUUAGCUCUAAAAUAUGCACACAUCGCCCGUCACUCUUAUUAUUAAGGUAAGAUAAGUCGUAACAUAGUAGAUGUACUGGAAAGUGUACCUAGAAUGCAAUUUAAAGCUUAUCAAGUAAAGCAUUUCAUUUACAUUGAAAAGAUUUUUGUGCAAAUCAAUAUAAAUUGAUUAUAUUUUAUUUAUUAAUUGUUUUUUUUUAUUAUAUAAAUUAUUAAAAAUAAUUAUAAAAUGAGUUGUUUAAGUAUUUUAUAAAGAAAAAAUAAUUUUAAUUAUAGUGAAAUAGUAUUGUGAAAGAAAAUUGAAAUAAUUUGAAAAAUU
rnacentral:rRNA from 1 species